rnacentral:rRNA from 1 species
CAGUCGCCGCGGUAAUACAGAGGGUGCGAGCGUUAAUCGGAUUUACUGGGCGUAAAGCGUGCGUAGGUGGUGGUUUAAGUCCGUUGUGAAAGCCUGGGCUCAACCUGGGAAUUGCAGUGGAUACUGGGUCACUAGAGUGUGGUAGAGGAUAGUGGAAUUUCCGGUGUAGCAGUGAAAUGCGUAGAGAUCGGAAGGAACAUCUGUGGCGAAGGCGACUAUCUGGGCCAACACUGACACUGAGGCACGAAAGCGUGGGGAGCAAACAGGAUUAGAUACCCCUGUAGUCCCUGUCUCUUAUACA